GACGAACGCUGGCGGCGUGCCUAAUACAUGCAAGUCGAACGCAGUGGGGACGGGUGAGUAACACGUGGGUAACAUCACAUCAGAGGGGAUAACACUUGGAAACAGGUGCUAAACCGAUACUGAUGGAUGGACACGCGGUGGAUUAGCUAGUUGGUGAGGUAACGGCUCACCAAGGCCACGAUGCGUAGCCGACCUGAGAGGUUGAUCGGCCACACUGGGACUGAGACACGGCCCAGACUCCUACGGGAGGCAGCAGUAGGGAAUCUUCGGCAAUGGACGAAAGUCUGACCCAGCAACGCCGCGUGAGUGAAGAAGGUCUUCGGAUCGUAAAACUCUGUUGUUAGAGAAGCGUUAUCUAACCAGAAAGCCACGGCUAACUACGUGCCAGCCGCCGCGGUAAUAC
rnacentral:rRNA from 1 species